rnacentral:rRNA from 1 species
UAGAGUUUGAUCCUGGCUCAGAUUGAACGCUGGCGGCAGGCCUAACACAUGCAAGUCGAACGGUAGCACAGAGAGCUUGCUCUCGGGUGACGAGUGGCGGACGGGUGAGUAAUGUCUGGGAAACUGCCUGAUGGAGGGGGAUAACUACUGGAAACGGUAGCUAAUACCGCAUAACGUCGCAAGACCAAAGAGGGGGACCUUCGGGCCUCUUGCCAUCAGAUGUGCCCAGAUGGGAUUAGCUAGUAGGUGGGGUAACGGCUCACCUAGGCGACGAUCCCUAGCUGGUCUGAGAGGAUGACCAGCCACACUGGAACUGAGACACGGUCCAGACUCCUACGGGAGGCAGCAGUGGGGAAUAUUGCACAAUGGGCGCAAGCCUGAUGCAGCCAUGCCGCGUGUAUGAAGAAGGCCUUCGGGUUGUAAAGUACUUUCAGCGGGGAGGAAGGUGUUGCGGUUAAUAACCGCAGCAAUUGACGUUACCCGCAGAAGAAGCACCGGCUAACUCCGUGCCAGCAGCCGCGGUAAUACGGAGGGUGCAAGCGUUAAUCGGAAUUACUGGGCGUAAAGCGCACGCACGCGGUCUGUCAAGUCGGAUGUGAAAUCCCCGGGCUCAACCUGGGAACUGCAUUCGAAACUGGCAGGCUAGAGUCUUGUAGAGGGGGGUAGAAUUCCAGGUGUAGCGGUGAAAUGCGUAGAGAUCUGGAGGAAUACCGGUGGCGAAGGCGGCCCCCUGGACAAAGACUGACGCUCAGGUGCGAAAGCGUGGGGAGCAAACAGGAUUAGAUACCCUGGUAGUCCACGCCGUAAACGAUGUCGACUUGGAGGUUGUGCCCUUGAGGCGUGGCUUCCGGAGCUAACGCGUUAAGUCGACCGCCUGGGGAGUACGGCCGCAAGGUUAAAACUCAAAUGAAUUGACGGGGGCCCGCACAAGCGGUGGAGCAUGUGGUUUAAUUCGAUGCAACGCGAAGAACCUUACCUACUCUUGACAUCCAGAGAACUUUCCAGAGAUGGAUUGGUGCCUUCGGGAACUCUGAGACAGGUGCUGCAUGGCUGUCGUCAGCUCGUGUUGUGAAAUGUUGGGUUAAGUCCCGCAACGAGCGCAACCCUUAUCCUUUGUUGCCAGCGGUCCGGCCGGGAACUCAAAGGAGACUGCCAGUGAUAAACUGGAGGAAGGUGGGGAUGACGUCAAGUCAUCAUGGCCCUUACGAGUAGGGCUACACACGUGCUACAAUGGCGCAUACAAAGAGAAGCGAACUCGCGAGAGCAAGCGGACCUCAUAAAGUGCGUCGUAGUCCGGAUUGGAGUCUGCAACUCGACUCCAUGAAGUCGGAAUCGCUAGUAAUCGUAGAUCAGAAUGCUACGGUGAAUACGUUCCCGGGCCUUGUACACACCGCCCGUCACACCAUGGGAGUGGGUUGCAAAAGAAGUAGGUAGCUUAACCUUCGGGAGGGCGCUUACCACUUUGUGAUUCAUGACUGGGGUGAAGUCGUAACAAGGUAACCUCAGUCAGUCA